UAGGAGUUUGGGACAUUUCCAGGAGUAGUUUUGUGACCCUGGUGGUAAUCUGACCCUUCUUCUGUACCGUGAAUCUAAAGAAACACUCAUUAGAACACGACUGAUCCCCUCUUUGACCUUUAGAAAUCGUUGAUAUGAGAAGCGAGUGUGUCUUAUAAUACCUGCCUGCUAUGGUCGGUAUUACAAGACACUUUGACUUCUCACAUCAACUAUAUCUAAAGGUCAAAGAGGGGGUCAGUCGGGUUCUUACCUGGAUUUCUUACCUGGAUGACCUUUCCCUAUGAGCCAUGCUAGGGUGAACCGUCAGGCAAAGAACCGAAAGGUCUCACAAACCAAUGCACCAGCCUGUCCAAACUCAUCAAACAACAUAAUAUAAUCUAAUAAGACAUUGGCUGGAAAGUGUAUUGGGAGUUCAUUUCAUAUGGUCAGGGAUAAAAGUCGUAAAGCUUGUGGCCAAGAAAAUCCUUAAGAGCAGCUUUGAAAACACCAAGGUCGCUCAGCUCAGCAGCUGCAGAGGGAAGUGAAUUCCAGGAGCCAACAACACGAACUGGUUGGUUCUUUAGGUUCACGGUACAGAAGAAGGGUCAGACUACCACCAGGGUCAUAAAACUACCCCUGGAAAUGCCCACAACUCCUACGAAAGCCUUCUCAAAUAUGUGUGUUUUUAGGUUCACGGUACAGAAGAAGGGUCAGACUACCACCAGGAUCAUAAAACUACCCCUGGAAAUGCCCACAACUCCUACGAAAGCCUUCUCAAAUAUGUGUGUUUUUAGGUUCACGGUACAGAAGAAGGGUCAGACUACCACCAGGGUCAUAAAUCUACCCCUGGAAAUCCCCACAACUCCUACGAAAGCCUUGUCAAAUAUGUGUUUUUAGGUU